UUAUAAAGGUCAAACAAAUGUGGAAUUAUGAUGCGAGUCUGUGAUAAUGUAUUGACAAAUAUAUUUAUAACAAACCCUCUUCUGUUUGUGGCAUUGCCACCUGCUGGUUUACAUUGCCUCUCACAACCAUACUUCACUCCACAAUUAGUUUUACGAGAUUACGCAUCUCGAAUACGCCAAGGAUGGUUGACUGGAUUGUGGACCGCCAAGGCUGGGGAAAAAAAGAUCAGGACUACGAGCACGAGUCUGUGAAGUGAUAUGCGAGAGGAAAAGCAUAACCUCUGUCAUAAAAAAGAAGAUCAAUGAAUAUUUGGAGGGCAGAUGAGUUCCACAGACUAAGGAAAACUCCACCCAGGGAUCGAGCAGAGUAUUUCCACCGUAUUCUCAAAUCUGACCCUGUGUUGGGAGGGAGGUUGCACAUGAUAUGGCGCAUCCUUGGGCAGAGUACUGGGACUUCCUGGAUAGCUUCAUUGACCUGUCUACAGAGGAGGGACUGAGGUUGGAGGAGUAUCUGGAUAGGAAGGACCAGACUGAGCGUUCCCUAGAAGUAUAUGGGAAGACAGAGGGGACUGGUGCUGGAUUUAAAACAUCAAACCCUCCAAAGAGGAGCAGAACCAGAGCCAUGUCCUGAUCAACAACACCCUGAAUGACAGAAUGUCUCCAUCACAAAGGAGAAAAGUUUCCAGUCUUCUGUGUGUAAACUCCUGCCAGAGUUUGAGAAAUCUAGCCUAAAGGAUGGCUCUGUCCAAGUGGAGGACCAGGAGGAGGUAAAGAGUGUUGAGGGCCGUCUGGCUCCCUCUACCCAGGAAAGAGGAACUGGACCUGGGGGGUGACAGUUUCUGGAGGACCUGGGAGGGGAGUCAGGUGAAGAGGCAGGUGGAGGAGCUCUCCAACCCCAGCUCAGAGGAGUACCACCAAGUUAGACAAUGAGGUCCUGUCUGCAAUGAAUAACAUGGAGAUUGACCCUGAAACCCCUGCAUUACUAAGUGGAGGAAGACCAUUAUGGCCUAUCCCUCUUCACAGUGGCUAAGGCCGACAAGGAGGAAAAGCUUGACUGGGACACCAAACUGUUCUCCCAGCAGGCUCAGCUUUUGCAGCCCAGGCCCCCACACUCCUGCUCAGAGCUGUUGCACCCAGACCAUCCUCUGCAGGACCCUUUCCACAGGGAAACCACAAGAAAACAGGAUGUCACAUCGCAGGAUCUGAAGGUGGUGUUGCACAUACAAAAGGGAAAGUUGGCCAACAUCCUGCACCACCACAGCAGGUCCAUAGUCUAACAACUGACUUUAUAACCCAGGCAGUGCUUAUUUUACCCUUGUGCUGGUUUCCAUUUGUACAACUCUUUAGCCUGUUCUAUGCAAGGCACUGCUCCACUUAACACUAUUUACUGAUCAGGUAGCUAUUCAACAGCACUAAUGCUGCCUGCCUCUACAUGCAUGUCCUCAAUGCAAGCAUUCUCUUCUGGCGGAUAGCAUAGCUACAUAUUACACUUUCAACUUGAAGUUACCUAAUGGUGUACACUUUUCCCAGUGCCUAUGUAAUGUGUGUGUAUACAAGAUGCUUUAUACAUUAAAUGUUCAAAUAAUGCUUUUGUAUUGUUAAUCACUAUUACCUUAUUCCAGAGAUACAUUUGGAGAGUUUUAAAUUGUUUUAAUUUAUACCUAUACACAAGAAUGACUAUGGCUGUAUUCAGAUAACCGUUUAUUCA